rnacentral:lncRNA from 1 species
UGGGGGAUGCACCAAAGACGCAAAAAUGGCCUCCGGACGCGUUUUCGGCCAGAAAAAUGUGUGCUAUAGGUCACGAUUCCCCGAAAAUGGCGACACCGGCCACCAGGGUCGAACAUGUGGGGGAUGGACCGAAGAUGUGAAAAUGGCAAAUGGACGUGUUUUCGGCCACAAAAACGUGUGUUAUAGGUCACGGGAGUCUGACAACGGCCAAACCGACCACCGUGGUCGAAAACAUGGGGGUUAGACCGAAGACGUGAAAAUGGCCUCC